GUGAGUGUAGCUCAAAUGGUUAGAGUACCUGACUGUGGCUCAGGAUGUUGUGGGUUCAAUUCCCAUCACUCACC
rnacentral:tRNA from 1 species